UGGGUNCUUUGCCUUAAGUUGUGUAGCUAU
rnacentral:piRNA from 1 species